GCUAAUUUCGUGCCAUGAGCGGCGGGAAACGGGAAGGCGCUGGGUGUACGUGGAAUGGUUGGCGUCAACGGGUGCGCAGGACGUGUGCUAAGCGUGACGUUGAAUGGAGAUGCUCAACAUCUGAGUUGAGUCGUGAACUGGUUGUGGAGAGUGCAUACGAGGUAGGCAGAAGUGGUGGUGUAGCGGUGAAAUGCUUAGAGAUCACGAAGAACUCCGAUUGCGAAGGCAGCCUACCAGGAUGUAACUGACGCUAAAGCUCGAAAGUGCGGGUAGCAAACAGGAUUAGAUACCCGUGUAGUC
rnacentral:rRNA from 1 species